rnacentral:rRNA from 1 species
UACGUAGGGUGCAAGCGUUAUCCGGAAUCACUGGGCGUAAAGCGUGCGUAGGUGGGAAUUUAAGUGAGAUGUGAAAUCGUGUGGCUCAACCAUAUCGCUGUAUCUCAUACUGGGUUCCUAGAGGACGGCAGAGGCAAGUGGAACUAGCAGUGUAGCAGUGAAAUGCGUAGAUAUUGCUAAGAACACCAAUGGCGAAGGCAGCUUGCUGGGCCACUCCUGACACUGAGGUACGAAAGCGUGGGGAGCGAACAGG